rnacentral:rRNA from 1 species
GACGAACGCUGGCGGCGUGCUUAACACAUGCAAGUCGAACGGAAAGGCCCUGCUUUUGUGGGGUGCUCGAGUGGCGAACGGGUGAGUAACACGUGAGUAACCUGCCCUUGACUUUGGGAUAACUUCAGGAAACUGGGGCUAAUACCGGAUAGGAGCUCCUGCUGCAUGGUGGGGGUUGGAAAGUUUCGGCGGUUGGGGAUGGACUCGCGGCUUAUCAGCUGGUUGGUGGGGUAGUGGCUUACCAAGGCUUUGACGGGUAGCCGGCCUGAGAGGGUGACCGGCCACAUUGGGACUGAGAUACGGCCCAGACUCCUACGGGAGGCAGCAGUUGGGAAUAUUGCACAAUGGGCGGAAGCCUGAUGCAGCAACGCCGCGUGCGGGAUGACGGCCUUCGGGUUGUAAACCGCUUUCGCCUGUGACGAAGCGUGAGUGACGGUAAUGGGUAAAGAAGCACCGGCUAACUACGUG